rnacentral:rRNA from 1 species
UGGGGAGUACGAUCGCAAGAUUAAAACUCAAAGGAAUUGACGGGCCCCGCACAAGCAACGGAGCAUGCGGCUUAACUCGACGCAACGCGAAGAACCUUACCAAGGCUUGACAUAUACAGGAAUAUGGCAGAAAUGUCAUAGCCGCAAGGUCUGUAUACAGGUGGUGCAUGGUUGUCGUCAGCUCGUGUCGUGAGAUGUUGGGUUAAGUCCCGCAACGAGCGCAACCCUCGUUCUGUGUUGCCAGCAUUUCGUUGGGGACUCACAGGAGACUGCCGGGGUUAACUCGGAGGAAGGUGGGGAUGACGUCAAAUCAUCAUGCCCCUUAUGUCUUGGGCUGCACGCAUGCUACAAUGGCUGGUACAAACGGCUGCGAUACCGCAAGGUGGAGCGAAUCCGAUAAAGCCAGUCUCAGUUCGGAUUGGGGUCUGCAACUCGACCCCAUGAAGUCGGAGUUGCUAGUAAUCGUAGAUCAGCAACGCUACGGUGAAUACGUUCCCGGGGCUUGUACACACCGCCCGUCACGUCACGAAAGUCGGUAACACCCG